rnacentral:tRNA from 5 species
GCCGGGGUAGCCUAGCCUGGCUAGGGCGCCAGACUCAUAAUCUGGAGGUCGCGGGCUCGAAUCCCGCUCCCGGCACCA